AUUUCGAUGUCGAUCAUUUUGUGUCUGACUGUAGGAAGCGUGUCCAGCUGGAGGAACUGAGAGGAGAUCUGGAACUCUACUAUAAACUUCUUAAAACAGCCAUGGUCGAGCUCAUCAACAAGGAUUAUGCAGAUUUUGUCAACCUUUCCACAAACUUGGUCGGCAUGGACAAAGCCCUCAAUCAGCUUUCUGUGCCUUUGGGACAGUUACGGGAAGAAGUUCUGAGUCUCAGGUCGUCUGUCAGUGAAGGAAUUCGGGCAGUAGAUGAACGAAUGUGUAAACAAGAGGACAUAAGGAAGAAAAAGAUGUGUGUGUUGAGGCUUAUACAAGUUAUUCGAUCAGUUGAAAAAAUUGAAAAAAUCUUAAAUUCUCAAAGUUCUAAAGAAACCUCUGCACUAGAAGCAAGCAGUUAGAAUUCAUUUCUGAACAAGAAGAAAAUCCAGGUCUGUGCCUUAGUGUUUUUGAAUGUAGCUCCAGGAGAGUGGAGCGCAUAAAAUGCCCACUUUGGACUGGACAGAUUUUGGAGAGAAUUGCCACAGAAUUUAACCAGCUACAGUUUCAUGCUGUUCAGAGCAAAGGCAUGCCUCUUCUGGACAAAGUAAGACCGCGUAUAGCUGGCAUUACGGCCAUGUUACAGCAGAGCCUGGAAGGCCUGCUGUUAGAAGGUCUUCAGACUUCCAAUGUUGAUAUAAUACGGCACUGCUUACGGACCUACGCCACGAUUGACAAGACGCGGGACGCAGAGGCAUUAGUUGGUCAAGUACUGGUGAAACCAUACAUGGAUGAGGUGAUCGUAGAGCAGAUUGUCGAGUCUCAUCCGAACGGCCUUCAGAUCAUGUAUGAUAAGCUCCUGGGGUUUGUUCCUCACCACUGCCGCCUUCUUCGAGAAGUCACAGGAGGAACCAUCUCAAGGUGAUGGAAACUACUGUGCUUGCAC